rnacentral:rRNA from 1 species
UACGAAGGGGGCUAGCGUUGUUCGGAAUUACUGGGCGUAAAGCGCGCGCAGGCGGCUCUUCAAGUCAGGGGUGAAAUCCUGGAGCUCAACUCCAGAACUGCCUUUGAUACUCAAGAUCUUGAGUUCGGGAGAGGUGAGUGGAACUGCGAGUGUAGAGGUGAAAUUCGUAGAUAUUCGCAAGAACACCAGUGGCGAAGGCGGCUCACUGGCCCGAUACUGACGCUGAGGCACGAAAGCGUGGGGAGCAAACAGG